AUUGAACGCUGGCGGCAGGCCUUACACAUGCAAGUCGAACGAGUGGCGGACGGGUGAGUAAUGUCUGGGAAAGUGCCCGAUGGAGGGGGAUAACUACUGGAAACGGUAGCUAAUACCGCAUACCAUCGGAUGUGCCCAGAUGGGAUUAGCUAGUAGGUGGGGUAACGGCUCACCUAGGCGACGAUCCCUAGCUGGUUGGAGAGGAUGACCAGCCACACUGGAACUGCGACACGGUCCAGACUCCUACGGGAGGCAGCAGUGGGGAAUUGUGGACAAUGGGCGCAAGCCUGAUGCAGCCAUGCCGCGUGUAUGAAGAAGGCCUUAGGGUUGUAAAGUACUUUCAGCGAGGAGGCGUUACUCGCAGAAGAAGCACCGGCUAACUCCGUGCCAGCAGCCGCGGUAAUAC
rnacentral:rRNA from 1 species